rnacentral:lncRNA from 1 species
GGAAACUGCCAUAUCUUCUCUCAGACCUGAAAUGUAUUCUGGAAUGCUGCUGCUGGAGUAAAGGUUGGGAAUGAGGAAAGAAGGAAGCAAAAAGUGAGAUCUGCAUGAGAUUUUGCAACUAUAACUUCACUAAAAGGAUCUAUCAACGAAGGUACCUCAGCAGAGAUAAAACAUAAGUUAUAUUCAGCAGAAGUCAGUUGAGUCUGUGGAAACUGUGCCUAUAUAGAUGUAUGGCUCCGUGCUAUUAACUUUCACUGUCUGUCAUCCUUUGGCAUACAAUAUAUUGGUGUUCAGAAAAAGAAGCAACACAAGCAUCUGUUGAUUACUCAGUCAUUGUUUCCCUCACUCCUGUUUAAAAUGCUCAUCAACAAGAAGUUCUUGAGGGUGUGAGGAUGAAGUCAUCAAUUGCAGAGACCAGAGAGGGGGGAUCAAAAACUAUCAAUUUGGAAAGUAUUUGGGCCUCUCAGCUCACAAAUAAAGCUGAAGUAGGUAGGGGAUGCACUUCAGCAACAGAUGAUUUCUCUGGUGUUUGCUCAGUCUUUUCUCUGGCUCUGCUUCUCAAUGAAAGCAAAGUGCUCUAUCAAAGUGAGUUAAGUACUACAAGAAGGACUCUUCCUGGGAAGUUGGUUUUGGAUGAUCUUUCCUUCAAUAAGUUUCUAUUUUUUAUUCACCCCAUCCACUGCAAAUGGAUGUAGUGUUCAGGAAGCUGGCUCAUUACCUGAAGCAUGGAUGCAGUACUCAGGCCUAAGCAGCUCAGAGAGAAGCUGUGAGUUCUGCUGCAGUGAGAGAAGACAACUCUCAGUGAUGCCAGUGGGAUAUCUCUGGUAAGUACAGAGAGGAAUUCUAAGCAUUUUAAUUAGUGUUGCUAUAAGGCUAAUGUAAUGUCUCUAAAGAGCAAACUUGAAUUUUAGCUGUUGAAAAGAUAUGUCAGGUUGAAAAGUAUUGGAGAUAUGUAGUUCCAAUCUCUUUCUCCCAGGAGCUGCAGUGCUGAUGGAUGCUAUGAGGACACAUAUAAUGGUAUUCUUACUAUACUUAAAUUACGAAAAGACUAGAAAAUAACAAAAAG